UACGAAGGGUGCAAGCGUUACUCGGAAUUACUGGGCGUAAAGCGUGCGUAGGUGGUUCGUUAAGUCUGAUGUGAAAGCCCUGGGCUCAACCUGGGAAUGGCAUUGGAUACUGGCGAUCUAGAGUGCGGUAGAGGGCAGUGGAAUUCCCGGUGUAGCAGUGAAAUGCGUAGAUAUCGAGAGGAACACCAGUGGCGAAGGCGAGUCCCUGGACAACUCCUGACACUGAGGCACGAAAGCUAGGGGAGCAAACAGG
rnacentral:rRNA from 1 species